GCGUCGGUGGUGUAAGGCGUAGCAUCGCUGUAUGUAAAGCAGAAGGUACGGGCUCGAGUCCCGCCCGGCGCA
rnacentral:tRNA from 1 species